rnacentral:rRNA from 1 species
UACGAAGGGGGCUAGCGUUGCUCGGAUUGACGUGGGCGUAAAGGGCGCGUAGGCGGUUCGUACAGUCAGACGUGAAAUUCCUGGGCUCAACCUGGGGGCUGCGUUUGAUACGUGCGGACUUGAGUGCGGAAGAGGCGAGUGGAAUUCCCGGUGUAGCGGUGAAAUGCGCAGAUAUCGAGAGGAACACCUGCGGCGAAGGCGGGUUGCUGGGCUGACACUGACGCUGAGGCGCGAAAGCUAGGGGAACGAACGGG